GACCUCGUAGUACAACGGUAGUAUGUCGCAGCCGGAUUAUCGAUUAGGUACGGAAAUUUAUCUGCGACGAUCUCAGUUGGAAUCUGAGCGGGGUUA